CGAAGCAGUGGGUGUCUCGCAGCUUCUUGCUGCACAGCUGGGCUCUCAAAUUUAGAGUCCAUGAGCUUUGAGAAAAGCUCACAGACAUAAUUACGUUCUCCACCAAUAGCCAGGCUCAAUCCAGAGAGGUGUUGGCUCAGUUUGCAUCAGGCUGUGUCAUGGCACCACAGAUUUAAAUUGUGUUCUUCCACAACAGAAGGCAUCUUAGAAGUCUUUUCUCCAGAAGGAUUUGUGUUUUCUUCUGCACAGGAUCCAGGGAGACACAACUGACCUAUAGACUAUUUCAAGCCCCUGUAGGGGUCCAAGAUUAUGUAGGACUCUGGACAAGUUCUCUC
rnacentral:lncRNA from 1 species